rnacentral:rRNA from 2 species
UACGUAGGGUGCAAGCGUUGCCCGGAUUUAUUGGGCGUAAAGGGCGCGCAGGCGGCCCGGCGCGUCCGCGGUGAAAGCUCCCGGCUCAACUGGGAGAGGUCCGCGGAAACGGUCGGGCUGGAGCAAGGUAGGGGGUCGUGGAAUUCCCGGUGUAGUGGUGGAAUGCGUAGAGAUCGGGAGGAACACCAGUGGCGAAGGCGGCGACCUGGACCUGUGCUGACGCUGAGGCGCGAAAGCGUGGGGAGCGAUCCGG